UUAGUGCAUGUACUGGUUUUAAUGUUUUGUUAAUUUACACUGUUGAAUUGUUUCCAACUUGUGUUAGAAAUUCAGCAGUGUCAAUGGUGAGACAGGCAUUGGUACUUGGUGGUGCAAUUAGUCCAAUGUUGGUGGCUUUUGGGAGAAAAAAUAGAUGGUUUUCUUAUGGAGUUUUUGGGAUUUGUAUAGCAAUUUGUGGAUUGUUUGUGUUGUGUUUGCCAGAAACUAAAGGAAGGACAUUGAGUGAUACUAUGGAUGAAGAGGAGUACAAUGAAAGUGUAUUUGUUUG
rnacentral:misc_RNA from 1 species